CGACACGACUAAUGGAUCGUGGAAGUUGACAUUCAGCCCAGGUCUCGGAGCUUACCAGUCGAUUUGACAAGGAACGGAACGUGCCCGCAGGUAUGACUAACAGACGGGUGGACUUGCCCUUCUUAUAAAAUGCCACCAGAUGACGGAUGUCCUGGAGUUUACCAAUUAAAUGGUACUGAAAUCGUGCUAGCCGAUAUGAUCCACCGAGAGCUUGAUCUGCCGUUCAGCCCCGAUGAUUUCUUAAAUAUUUGUUAGUUAAGGUUAAGCUAGGGCCAGUACCAGUCAGUUUUAGAUCCUAUUUUAAUUUUCAAAAUUCAAACUAGCUUACGUCAGAUCACAUAAGGUCUUCACUCUCACACAAACAUGGGCAAAAUGCCUGUUUCAAAAUGGUUACUCUUUUUUUCUCUGGAGCGACAAAAAAACUCCUAGUUAAAUUUAAUAUUUUACUAAAAUAACCUGAAUGUCAAGGCCUACACAAAAACAAUGUUUACAAAUUGGCUGCAAUCAUAUGUCCUGGUCCUAACCUGAUUAUAUUCACCCUUUUAUUUGAAAAUUUGAUCCUGAUAUAUAUUUCUAAUAGGUUAGUAAACUAUACAAUAUUUAUGUUACAAUUAACCAAAAAUAAAUUUUAAUGUAAUGGGGAAGCAAAGCAAAGUACAAGGUGAACGAGCGAAACCCAAAUAUUUCGCCCUGAACCGUUACAAUUUAUAAUUUUGAACUUACCGCCAGUCCCGUCUAAUCAAAUGCUUAUACGCAUGGGUUACAAUUUCAAUAUAUAUGCUAUUUCCAUUAGUCAUCUUUAGUUUUAAAUUUUCCGCUAAUUUCACUCAUAUGCUGAUACUGAUGCAAUUCCGAAUAAGAACGAUGUAAUGCUGUUUGGAGUUCAUUGGCCUCCCUUAUAGGUACGAUUUGUGUUGACUAAUUGGUUUUAAAGUAAUUAAUUACAUGUUCUGCACAUAUAUUUUCUCACAUAUAUCUUAUUUCUAUUAUUUUAGUUUUUGAAUUUACCGCCAAUCCCCUCAUGCCGAGAUCUACUAGGCAAGCAUUUAAAUUUUAAUGUUACAUAUAUUUUAUUUCUUGUGUUAACAAUUAAUUUUGGAUUUACCGCCAAUUCUAUUAAACUAAUUUCCUAAA